UACGUAGGGUGCGAGCGUUAAUCGGAAUUACUGGGCGUAAAGCGUGCGCAGGCGGUUUUGUAAGCCAGAUGUGAAAGCCCCGGGCUCAACCUGGGAAUGGCAUUUGGGACUGCAAGGCUGGAGUUUGGCAGAGGGGGGUAGAAUUCCACGUGUAGCAGUGAAAUGCGUAGAGAUGUGGAGGAACACCGAUGGCGAAGGCAGCCUUCUGGGCCAAUACUGACGCUCAUGCACGAAAGCGUGGGGAGCGAACAGG
rnacentral:rRNA from 1 species